rnacentral:rRNA from 1 species
UACGGGGGGGGCAAGCGUUGUUCGGAAUUACUGGGCGUAAAGGGCGCGUAGGCGGCCUGCUAAGUCACACGUGAAAUCCCUCGGCUCAACCGGGGAACUGCGUGUGAUACUGGCGGGCUUGAAUUCGGGAGAGGGAUGUGGAAUUCCAGGUGUAGCGGUGAAAUGCGUAGAGAUGUGGAGGAACACCGAUGGCGAAGGCAGCCUCCUGGGCCAACACUGACGCUCAUGCACGAAAGCGUGGGGAGCAAACAGG